AUGGUAACACACAACCCAGAGGAGCGCAUGCGUGAGGCCCUCCCCCAGCGCUGCCAUUGAGGAGCAUUUACUCAGUGAGUGGAAGAGGUUUGUUUGAAACAGACCGCAAUGGAGAGACCAGCGCCCAGGGAAGCGAGGGAGCAGCAGGCUCCUUCCAGCAGCACAUGGAGAUGUGAGCCUGGGACACAGGGAGCCUCCGAGACUGGCAUUGAUUCGGGCUCAGUUCAGGGAGAACCGGGGGCUGUUUGUAAGAGGCUGAGCGGAGCAGGAACCGGUCCCGGAACUUGGAGUGAGUGGUCUGGGGUGGAAGAGAGAGGCUUUUCUCGGGCUGUGUGUGGGCCUGCUGAGGGAGACACAGCCGAAAGAAGCUGCUGGGGGUUAUUCUUGUGGCUUUUCAUCCUCUAAACUGUGAUGGAAAUUCGUCGUUCGGCUUCUGUUUCACGCUGUUUUUAGACAUUGUGCCGUGAACAGUGGAAACACAGACUAGAGGAAUGUUAUAACCCUGAAAAGGACAGGCAAAUAGUUGAAGGACCAGGAUGUUGUUAUAUUUCCUCGGUACAAAGCCAAGUGUGACCAGCUGCUUCUAACAAACAGUAGGUAUGUAGCCCAUUGACAUUGACACCAGUUUUGAAGAUGGAUAGACUGAAUGGUCAUCCGAAAUAGACACUCGGGAACAGUAGUAAAUCUGCGUUGAAUAAGGGCAUUUUCAGAGUUACAAUCAAGACAAAUAAAUAGAUCAUAGUUUCAACAGCCAUACCUCAGCGAGAUGUUAAGUACAGAAAUGGGAAGAACCUGCUCACCGAGAGGACAAGAGUUACUAAAGUGGAUGAAACACAUUUAUAUGAAGUUUAUCAGUGACUGAGAAGGACAGAAUUAAUCCUUUGAUGAAUAAUUCUCCCUCUCUAACUCUCACACUCUCUCACUGUCUGAAGGUGCAUGUUACAAUGUGGAACAACCAAAUCGUUCUGUAUACACUGCAAAUCAUAGAAAAUGGUACAUUCAAAAUGAUCUCCACUAACACCCUCAAGUUAUAGAAGUCUACAGUACAGAAAAAGGCCUUUCAGCCCAUUUGGUCUGCACCAAUAAAAAAAAACACAGCUAACAACACUAAUCCCAAUCAGCCAGCAUUCUAUUUC